rnacentral:rRNA from 1 species
CCAGACUCCUACGGGAGGCAGCAGUGGGGGAUAUUGCACAAUGGGGGGAACCCUGAUGCAGCGACGCCGCGUGGGUGAAGGAGUGCUUCGGCAUGUAAAGCCCUAUCGGCAGGGAAGAAGCAAGACGGUACCUGACUAAGAAGCCCCGGCUAACUACGUGCCAGCAGCCGCGGUAAUACGUAGGGGGCAAGCGUUAUCCGGAUUUACUGGGUGUAAAGGGAGCGUAGACGGCAGUGCAAGUCCGGAGUGAAAGCCCGGGGCUCAACCCUGGGACUGCUCUGGAAACUGUAAAGCUGGAGUGCGGGAGGGGCAGGCGGAAUUCCUGGUGUAGCGGUGAAAUGCGUAGAUAUUAGGAGGAACACCAGUGGCGAAGGCGGCCUGCUGGGCUUUAACUGACGCUGAGGCUCGAAAGCGUGGGUAGCAAACAGGAUUAGAUACCCGUGUA